GACGAACGCUGGCGGCGUGCUUAACACAUGCAAGUCGAACGAAGUGGCGAACGGGUGAGUAAUACGUGGGUAACCUGCCUUCAUUAUUGGGAUAAGCCUUGGAAACGGGGUCUAAUACCGAAUAACGGGGGAUGGGCUGGCGGCCUAUCAGCUUGUUGGUGGGGUGAUGGCCUACAAAGGCGGUGACGGGUAGCCGGCCUGAGAGGGUGACUGGGAACGAUGGGAGUUAGAUACGCCCCAGAGUCCUACGGGAGGGAGCAGUUGGGGAUAUGGCACAAUGGGCGAAAGCCUGAUGCGGCGACGCCGCGUGGGUUAUCAAGUCUUUCGGGUUGGUAACCUCUUUCGCUAUCGAACGGGUAGGUAGUGAAGAAGCGCCGGCUAACUACGUGCCAGCAGCCGCGGUAAUUC
rnacentral:rRNA from 1 species